rnacentral:rRNA from 1 species
GAGUUUGAUCAUGGCUCAGGACGAACGCUGGCGGCGUGCUUAACACAUGCAAGUCGAGCGGAAAGGCCCUUUGGGGUACUCGAGCGGCGAACGGGUGAGUAACACGUGAGCAACCUGCCCUGGACUUUGGGAUAACCCUCGGAAACGGGGGCUAAUACCGGAUAUUACAUUUUGCCGCAUGGUGGAGUGUGGAAAGUUUUUUCGGUUUGGGAUGGGCUCGCGGACUAUCAGCUUGUUGGUGGGGUGAUGGCCUACCAAGGCGACGACGGUUAGCCGGCCUGAGAGGGCGACCGGCCACACUGGGACUGAGACACGGCCCAGACUCCUACGGGAGGCAGCAGUGGGGAAUAUUGCACAAUGGGCGGAAGCCUGAUGCAGCGACGCCGCGUGAGGGAUGACGGCCUCGGUU